CCUACGGGUGGCAGCAGUGGGGAAUAUUGGACAAUGGGGGAAACCCUGAUCCAGCGACGCCGCGUGAGUGAAGAAGUAUUUCGGUACGUAAAGCUCUAUCAGCAGGAGAGAAAAUGACGGUACCUGACUAAGAAGCCGCGGCUAACUACGUACCACCAGCCGCGGUAAUACGGAGGGGGCCAGCGUUAUCCGGAUUUACUGGGUGUAAAGGGAGCGUAGACGGCAGCGCAAGUCUGGAGUGAAAUGCCGGGGCCCAACCCCGGAACUGCCCUGGAAACUGUGACGCUCGAGUGCAGGAGAGGUAAGCGGAAUGCGUGGUGUAGCGGUGAAAUGCGUAGAUAUCAGGAAGAACACCGGCGGCGAAGGCAGCAUACUGG
rnacentral:rRNA from 1 species